rnacentral:rRNA from 1 species
CACGUAGGGGGCGAGCGUUGUCCGGAUUUAUUGGGCGUAAAGAGCUCGUAGGCGGCUCGGUAAGUCAGGUGUGAAAACUCUAGGCUCAACCUAGAGACGCCACCUGAUACUGCUGUGGCUAGAGUCCGGUAGGGGAGCAUGGAAUUCCUGGUGUAGCGGUGAAAUGCGCAGAUAUCAGGAGGAACAGCCAGUGGCGAAGGCGGUGCUCUGGGCCGGAACUGACGCUGAGGAGCGAAAGCAUGGGGAGCGAACAGG